CGGGAAAUAGCUCAGUGGUAGAGUGCAUGCUUAGUAUGCACGAAGUCCUGGGUUCAAUUCCCCAUACCUCCA
rnacentral:tRNA from 1 species